rnacentral:rRNA from 1 species
GACGAACGCUGGCGGCGUGCCUAAUACAUGCAAGUCGAACGCUUCUUUUCUCCCGAGUGCUUGCACUCAAUUGGAAAGAGGAGUGGCGGACGGGUGAGUAACACGUGGGUAACCUACCCAUCAGAGGGGGAUAACACUUGGAAACAGGUGCUAAUACCGCAUAACAGUUUAUGCCGCAUGGCAUAAGAGUGAAAGGCGCUUUCGGGUGUCGCUGAUGGAUGGACCCGCGGUGCAUUAGCUAGUUGGUGAGGUAACGGCUCACCAAGGCCACGAUGCAUAGCCGACCUGAGAGGGUGAUCGGCCACACUGGGACUGAGACACGGCCCAGACUCCUACGGGAGGCAGCAGUAGGGAAUCUUCGGCAAUGGACGAAAGUCUGACCGAGCAACGCCGCGUGAGUGAAGAAGGUUUUCGGAUCGUAAAACUCUGUUGUUAGAGAAGAACAAGGACGUUAGUAACUGAACGUCCCCUGACGGUAUCUAACCAGAAAGCCACGGCUAACUACGUG